GUCUAUGGUCAUACCAUCUAGAAGACCCCUGACCUCACCCUGUCUCUGAAGCUAAGGAAGGCAGGGCCUUAUUAGCACAUGGAUAGGAGAAAAAAAAUUGUAGGUU
rnacentral:rRNA from 14 species